rnacentral:rRNA from 1 species
GACGAACGCUGGCGGCGUGCCUAAUACAUGCAAGUAGAACGCUGAAGGAGGAGCUUGCUUCUCUGGAUGAGUUGCGAACGGGUGAGUAACGCGUAGGUAACCUGCCUGGUAGCGGGGGAUAACUAUUGGAAACGAUAGCUAAUACCGCAUAAGAGUAGAUGUUGCAUGACAUUUGCUUAAAAGGUGCAAUUGCAUCACUACCAGAUGGACCUGCGUUGUAUUAGCUAGUUGGUGGGGUAACGGCUUACCAAGGCGACGAUACAUAGCCGACCUGGGGGGGUGAUCGGCCACACUGGGACUGAGACACGGCCCAGACUCCUACGGGAGGCAGCAGUAGGGGAUCUUCGGCAAUGGACGGAAGUCUGGACGAGCAAAGCCGCGUGAGUGAAGAAGGUUGUCGGAUCGUAAAGAUCUGUUGUAAGGGAAGAACGAGAGUGAGAGUGGAAAGUUCACACUGUGACGGUAUCUUACCAGAAAGGGACGGCUAACUACGUG